rnacentral:misc_RNA from 1 species
UAAAGUUGAGUGAUUUUAUUUUAACAAAUUAAAAUUUAAGGAUAGAACGAAAGUACCCUCAAAGUUCAAAGACAGUUGGUACAAUUAACCCCAUUAUUAUUAUUAUUCUUUUGGUUGAGCAUGUAGAACUUGUUCUGUUCACAAAAGACAAGAUCUAGUAGUCUAGAAACAACACUAGCAGCACACCUUUUUUUUCAAGUAUUUCACUAUUUUCUGCUACUUAAUUACAAACCUAGUACACUAAGAGAGGAAAACAAGGUUGCAAUUAGCCAAGCCAUAACUUAGUAUUGAUGAUUUAUCGGGAAGAAGGUGGAGAUUCCCCUUGAAGAAAGGCUGAGAAGAAUGCCAGUGACUCGCUUGGUUUGAAGAUAGGCACAGCAUGACCAGCUCCUCUAAAUGUUGCAAAUAUAAGCCCCUCAUAUUCUUGAAACCAACCACUGACCUGCUUCUGGUGGUACCAUGGCCUCCAUGCUUUGAUGACAGGUAGUCCCAGAGAGCCUAAGCUGUAUCUUGUGGACAAUACAGGAACUCUUCCAUCUGUAUCUCCACUGUA